ACUCAAAGGAAUUGACGGGGGCCCGCACAAGCGGUGGAAUAUGUGGUUUAAUUCGUCGCAACGCGAAGAACCUUACCUGGGCUUGAACUGCUAGUGGUAAAAACUGGAAACAGUAAUGACCCGCAAGGGAGCUAGUAGAGGUGCUGCAUGGCUGUCGUCAGCUCGUGUCGUGAGAUGUUGGGUUAAGUCCCGCAACGAGCGCAACCCUUAUCCCAUGUUACCUGUAGCAAUACAGGGUGUCUGAGGAAACUGCCAUUGAUAAAAUGGAGGAAGGUGGGGACGACGUCAAGUCAUCAUGGCCUUUAUGUCCAGGGCUACACACGUAUUACAAUGGUCGGUACAGAGGGCAGCGAUAUCGCAAGAUGGAGCAAAUCCCUAAAAGCCGACCCCAGUUCAGAUUGUGGGCUGAAAUUCGCCCACAUGAAGUAGGAAUCGCUAGUAAUCGCAGAUCAGCAGGCUGCGGUGAAUACGUUCCCGGGCCUUGUACACACCGCCCGU
rnacentral:rRNA from 1 species